rnacentral:lncRNA from 1 species
UGGGAUUUUUUCGCAGAUUUUCAAAUAAAACUCAGAGAUUCCUUGUAUGACUCUCUAAAUCUCUCUUUUGUGGUAUUUCUGGAUCCUUACCAAGGCAGUGAUGGUGUAUGCCUUCUCUCAAGAUAUGUGGUAUUUGUGGUAUAAGGCAUAGUGACAUUGCCUUCUCUCCCACCCUACUCUAAUAAGGCUUGAUAUCUGGAGCUCAUAGGUGGGAGACAGUUAAUACAUACUUACAAGACAUUUAUUGCAUAGUCAAGCCAUGGAUCCAGAGAAACAAAUCAAUAAGCCAAAUCAAGAUGUGCAUGUGUGGCGAAUGAAUGGUGUAUGGUCACGAUGGUAAUAACAAUGGUGAAAGUCUAAUUCUACUUUUGCUCUUUUGAGGGGAUACAUACCUUCCUUGCUUUUUGAAACUUUAUGAGGAGAAUGAUAUGCUCUUCUUUUUCUUUCCUCUCAGGUGGGUAUCUUGUAACCCUAAUUCUACUGUCGGACACUUGUCCAUUUUUACCUCUCGUCUUACUUUUUCUUUCUUUCGAGGUUCCGGGCACUUGCCCCUUUUUAUUUCCUCGUUUAUAUAUAUUUUUUUUCUUCUCUUUUCUUUCUCUUUUUUUUCAGAGCACUCAUCUCUUGAGAUAAUAUAGCAAGUGAUACUAACCAAAAUAUUUGGAGCAUUUAUUUCACAGGGAAUAACAGGGAUAGGAAAAUGUUUUUGACUAUUCUCUCCUGGAUUAGGAGUAGAAUAUUUUUGGGUGAUUCUAGAGAUGGAAAUGGAUGUAUAUAUGUGGAUGGUACUUCCAGAGUAGAAGUAGCAUGAGUGAACGUGCAAGUGAAUCUUGAUUUAACCACAUGACAAGCUCCUAAGGGUCUACACAGCUUGACCACACUCAAUGCUCAUAAGCAGUAAAUAGUAAAUGUGUGGCUCAAAGUCUAGCAAGCAUGUAUAUAUGGCUGUGGUAGGAAUUUAAACUCUCAUCAUACAGGAACUCAUCAUGCAAUAUUUUAAAGAUUUUUCAAGAUAAAAUUUUCCAGAAUUCUAGCAUCUCUAGGAACAGAUAAACAGCAGCUCAACCUUCCCAUAUCAUAUCCGUUAACUACUUAGAUUUCAGAUCAAGUUUUCAUCCCACAAGUUUAGAUCUAGAGCAAGCUUUAAAUUAUAACAGUUAUGUCUAAACUUGAAAGGGAACUUCAAAAUUGCAAAUUAGGCAGAGCAACUAUUCAUCAUAUCCAUGCUAGAGUUUUAUUAUUUAAGAUUCAGAUAGCCACUUUAUUUAUUUAUUAAACAUACUAAGCAAAAUAUAUAUAAGCACAAAAUCUUUAUUUGGUUUUUCAUAGUUUAUGUAUUUUAAUAUUCUAACAUAAUAUAAGUAUAAAGAUAGGUAGAAAUACUUAGCGACAAUAAUGGGGGUGCUCUCCCCCAAGCUGAAUUGUGACGUAAUUUCUCUUGAUGUAGCUAGCAGGUGGCAGUGGUGUAUUUGAAAGUCAGCAGUAUUCUGACAGCGAUUAGAAUGUCCUCCGUCUGCUAGUCUUCUUGAUUCUUAAAUUCUGUGGAGCUCAAAUAGACAACAAAGCUUGUGGAACUAAUUAAGUGUUAGCAUAAAUAUCUAGCCUUCAUCAUGUUGAGCUUCCUUAAUAAAUGUUAUUUAUUUAGCAGGAUCAUACACUUAUUAUUAUUAUAUAUAUAUAUUUUUAUUGUAAGAUGAAAACUUAUUUACUUUAUUUUUAUGCCACCACAGUGAAUGUACUUAUGGGUUUUAUGCCAUGAGCAUACUCACAUGGGGCUUACUAUUUUUUAACAUUUUUAUUUUCUUUUCAAGAUAGCAUGAACCUGAUUAACUAAGCAAAUUAUAAUUGAAUAAUUGAAAGGAAAGGGUAACUACCAAGUUUACCUCUUGGCAAGGCAUUCGGUAUUUUUAAGUCCUCUGAACGGGACUCUCUGUUUUCUCAGUCGUCCUGGGAUUCGCUAGGUGGCGUAGUCAGUGAUUCUGGCGGCGCCUCUCUUCGUGUAUAACUAUCUUCUCCCUCCACACCUGACUCGGUGCUACGGUCUCCUCAGGAUAGUUCUGUUCAAGCUAUAUGUCUUCAGUCCUUAUCACUUCUCCUUUGUAGUCUACCCAUCCGUUCUUGAUGAUUUGCCUCCUCUGGUUGCGGUUGCGUCGUCUUCUUGUCCUGACCUGUAACACCCGAAAUACUGAUUUUCAAUUUAUAGGAUUUAAUUUAAUUUAAAUAAGUAUUUUUGUGGGCAUUUGAAUCUAGCAAACAAAUAAUUUUGUGAAAAAAAUUAAAACUCAUCAUAAGUUCAGAAACAUGAUUUUGCAUUCAUGCUGAAGCAUAGUUAUUUUUGUACUGUUUGAUCUGGUUUUAUUUUAAUUGUAUUGCUUGCAAAACUCUAUUUGGAAAAGGCUUUGGAAAAUAAUAAAAAAAAAAGGAAAUACACAUCCCUCACCUCGGCCUGGGCCAAAAGCCGAGGCCCAGCAGUUUUCCCCGUCCCCUUGCGCGCGGCCCAACCGGCCCAGCUCCCUGCGCGCAGGCUUCCCCCUCCUCCUUGCCGCUGACAUGCGGGCCCCACUGGGCGGCGCUCGUCCCCCUCCUCUCGCCGUGAGCGAGUAGGACUCGGCCGGGAGAUUUCCACCGAACCGAAACCGUGGACUCCGGGAUUUGCUUGCCAAAACGUUUGCCCAGCGCCCUAUAAAGCUCCCAAGCAUCUCAGCGGGCUUCUUUUCCGUUAGACGCGCGUCCGAGGAACCCUAGCCGCCGUUUUCUUCAAGAACGCGAUCUCGCCGUGAGCUCGGAGCUCGCCACCCCUCUCUGCUCCUUCCCAGGCCGAGCAACAACCCCAGACGUGUUCGCGGUGAGCCCCUCGUUCGCCUGAGGUCAUCCUUUUGUUCUCUAGUGCACGGAAUCGCGCGAACCGCGGUCUCCGGCGAGUCCUGGGCGGCGCCCAUGGCGCACCGCCGCGGGAGGGCCUGCCCCGGCGGCCGGUCGGCCGGGCUCGGCCCUGAAAGGAAACCCCAACCGCCCGAUCGGAGAUCAAGGGCUCAGAAAGAAGCGUACCCUUUCGGCUGAAAUACUUCAUAAAGAGUCCCUGUAUAGUUUUACAAAUUACUCCGCGGUCCUUGGCGUGUUCUGCUAAAUACGUUUCUCCGUUUUAAACACGUAUUUUCGUCGGUUCAAGUGAAAAGGCGCAAUCAGAUAUUUACAGUUUUGCCAUUGGAAUUGAAUUGGUCAUAAAAUAUUCAUUUUAACUCCGUUUUUGUCCAUUCAAAUUUCGUUGGAUUCGUAUUUACGAGCUCUACAUGUUAGAAGUAAUAUUCCACUGUUUUGAAACUUUUAAAUUCUGCAGUAGCAUUUAAUUAAUUAAUUCUCUAUAGGAAAUCUUAGAAAAUUCAUAUCUUCCGCGUUUUAAUUCCGAUUUUCGUGAACUUUACGUUUAUGUGAUCUUAGCGCUGCGUAGAAUAUUUUGGUGAACCUUUAUAUUUGUUUUACCACUGUUUGGUGUAUUGUUCUAAUUAUAGUUUGUUUGCUUCGUGUAUGAUUGUCUACAUUGGAUUGCGCGUUGUUGUUUGAUGAUUGGGAUUAGACGGUGAGCCGUACGUUGGUGACCAAGCCCAAGCUUUUGAGGACCAGCAAGCUCAGGAGAGCUUUGAGCAAGGCAAGUAUAACUUGGGACCAUCCUUGUUACCUAUUCACUUAUAACUACAUAUAUAUAUCAUAUGCAUGCUAUCACCUUGUCGACCUUAGCAAAAUCAUAGAUGAUUGUUACCUGUAUUCCUUGCUACCUACUUGAUAUGCAUUUGGUAUAGAUGUGCUAGUGCUUGAUAUAAUCCAUGAUCUUGUAAGAUGAUUAAUAGCUAUGCAAUGAACAUAAAAGAAUGACAAAUAACUAUAUGAGAUCUUGUCUGUAAGUGAUCACCGGGACAACAGUGCAACCAUGAGGGCUAUAAUGGCUCUGGCUUUAGCUCAGUAUGAAGCACUUUUCUAGCUGGUUAGAGGUUACCCGAAAAGGCGGAGGGGCUGAACCGUUUUGGGUAUAGUGUGGCCUCUGUCUGUAUGAGUAUAGGCUGCGAGUCAUUGUGCCAUCGGAAGGGGGGCUCUAUAUCUGCGCGCAAAGGAAACCUUGCGGCCCUAACUUGUUAGACGAACUUUUGAAAGGCUUCAUAGUGAUCCCUGCCGACCUCCCUAGGAAGGGGGUUAAGAGAUUAGCUACCUCGGGCGAAAGGGUAAAUCAUGACUCAUGGGUAAAGAUGUACAACCUCUGCAGAGUGUUAAAACUAGUAUACUAGCCGUGCUCACGGUUAUGAGCGGCCUUGGGGGUUCUUGCUGCGACGACGAUGAGCUUAUUAAGUUGUUAUGUUCAUUUGAUUAUCGUUUAUGCUAUGAAUUAAUUAUGCUUACAUUUGAUCAUGGGAUUAAUGGACUAUUUAAGUUUCCUUGACAAUUGCUCAUUAAUUAUGAACAUGCUAUCCACCAUUAAAAGCUAAAUGCAGUCAAACCAGUGUCAGCUAUUUGAACCUCAUGAAUCCCUGGUUAUACUUGUUGAGUACGAUAUGUGCUCACUCUUGCAAUUUCCCAACACCUCAGGAUAUGAUAUUGAAGAUGACUGGAAUGAGGAUUACCGUAAUGAGUACUAGGUUUGGGGUCAACCAGUCAACAGUGUCCCUGUGUGGAGCUUCCGUCGAGAGCGUUGUUUACUUUAUGCUAUCAUUUUUGUAUGAGACUAUGUGAUGUUUUAUAUUCCGCUAUGUAAUAAACACUGCGAUGGUACAUUUGAGAUUUGUCUACUUAUGUGUGCGACUGUUUCUGGGGCACAUAUGAGUCUUUUAUGCAUCCUAUUUUGUUCUUAAAAUAUGGGUGUGACAUGACCUGCUUAGAGUCUUCAACUAUAUAGUUAUGGUCAGUAAAAUAGUUGCGUACCUUCUCAGAGGGGAAGUACAUGUGGACUUCUCCGGUUCCAAUGUAGAUGAUUGCUUUGAUAGUGUUGAGGAACGGUCUUCCAAGGAUGGUGGGUGGAUCAUAUUCGUAUUCUCCCAUGUCAAUGACCUGAAAAUCAUCUGGAGCUGAAUAUAUUGGUUGUAGGGGCAUGGUUCCAUGCAGGAGCUGAUAAGUGACUGCGGCCAUUAUGUUGUCGUUAGAUCCGGUGUCGUAGAGUGUCUUCUGAAAAGAGUAUCCAUUGAUUGCGCACUCGAUGCUUGGAACACCAGGGUCAUCCUUCUUGAUCAAGAAAGGUGACUUGAGUCGAUGAUGUUGACCUCUUCCGACAAGGAUCCAAUGUUUUAAGUCUUCUGGACAAGACUUUCCACCAUCUUCAUCCUUUAGGUGCAUCAUUUGAUUAGGUGUGGACCUUGACGUCUGCACCUCUUGAUACGGUGUCACCCAUGUUCUUCUUUGCCCAGCAGUUCGAAGUAUGGUGUUGGCAAUAUCCUGCUCAGUGUGUUUGUGCUCAUAGAUCCAGGUCCUUCACUUGGUGGAGUCUGGGAGUUGCAAAACUCCUCCAUGUUUUGCUUGAAGUGUACCUGUUCAUAGAGACAAGGCAGAGAUCAAGUGCAUGGGCUCUGUUGGUGGAAAACACCAACAUAACCAAAAGUGUAUUUGUUCUUUUCUAACCUUAAGCAUAGUGAGCAAGACAAAGUUGAUGGAUAAUAAGAUCAUGAGUGUAGUAUUUGAAACAUUCGUCAGAUCAGAUGGCUCAACCUAAUGGAAAGAUAAUCUAUCUAUAUUUAUGUUUUGUUUAUAUCUUCCAAAUAUUGAAUGUGCAACAUAUUAGCUUAUAUGUUUAAGAGCGUGGGAUCACGAAGGUAGUACUAAGAACAAAGAUUAAAGGACUAAACAUGUUGAAUAAAUUGAGUUGGUUAAUCUAGAGUUAUAAAUCAUACAUGUUUGUCUCUUUAUUUAUGUGAAUGCUAGAACCAAGGAGAAGCUUAUAAAAGCGAUAGUCAAGUACCUUAAGGUGUUACCUUACUUGAAGAGUGACGGUACAGUAUCACCUUGUGGAAGCUUUCCUUUCUUAGCGGUUGUGCAUCGUGUUUGUGACACCCUCCAUGAAUCAUCUCUUAUGAGCCACGUCUUUCUUGUGCAAAUUGUUAAACUUCAUGUGUCACUUUCUUCAUCUCCAAUGCGAGUUUAUCUCUGGACUUCCCAGGUUGAUAUUGAAAGUUUUCCUGCAGGGGUUAGUCCAUCAAAAUAUCCCAUAUCUACUAUAGCAUACUAUCGGCUUAAAAAUCAACCUAGACACCAUGUCUAAUUUGAUUUAGAAGGGCAUUUUAACCUAAGCACCAUGCUUAAUUUAAAAUCCCUUGGAAGUAAGAUCAUCAUUCCUAAACUAAGCACCAUGCUUAAUUAAGAGAUAAAUGAAACUAUUCCAAACCUAGACAUAUACUAAAGCAAAUAAAGGUAACAUGAGAGCAUUUAUAGAGAUCUACUUAAGUGGAGAUGAAGUAGUGUAAUUAGUAUUUAACAAAUUGAGCAUGUCUCAAAGGUAAGGACAACCAACGUAGCAACAUGGCCAAAGAUGUUUUUAUGUAAAGUACUCCCCCAAGCUUGAAUUUUACAAAAUUCAAGUUUGGAUGAAUUUAAUUCAAUGUUGUGUGAUGGUUGGUUGGACAUACCCUGUGCUUGUCAUUCAUCCGAUCUUCUUGCUCCAAUCCUGGAAAGGUUAGUGACAAGAAUACCCGAAGGAAUAUUUCUACAAUUAUCUUUAUAUGAUCAAUACACAAGGCAAUGUUGCAAAUAAUUAGAAGUUCAUGUUAUGAUCUGAUAAGUGUUUGUUUUAGGACACUAAGCUUGUCCUUGGGAAACCAUCAAGUUAUGUUGGUGAAGUGGUUUCCCCUCCAACACCUACCUAUAUCAAGAUCAACUCAACGAGAUCUGCAAUAUUUAUUAUAGACAUAUGCAUCGACAACCGCCCUUUUAAAGUUUUUAUAAAUGAAAAGGAAGAGGGGGUUGGAGAUCUCAAAUGUGGUAAGGAUGGAGAGACAAAUUGAUUGGAGAGAUGUUUUAUAUGAGCAAGGACUGGGUGAGGUAUUUAUGAAAUAACUUCCAUGCUCACUGUUGUUUCUCUCAUUCUUAAACUCCAAGGAUGAUUCUUCAUGAAUGCUUAAAAUUCCUCUAGGAUUGUCUCUCAAGUUUGUUUUAUCUAUCCAUUCAAUGGUGAUAGCACAUGGAUUUUUAAUGCCCUCUAGCCAUUGAUGUUGCUCUUCUCGAUCCUCCUUCUUAUGCAUGGGAUGUCUAGAGAGAUUCAUAGGAUUAUCGGGAGGUUCAAGAGAAAAAGCAUAGUAGAAAUUAUUAAGCUCAAGGAUGGGUUGGAUAGCCGAAUUAUGGGAUUGAAAUGUUUGGAAAUCGGCUAUUAAAACUUCCUCUCCUUGUAUGGGAGAUGAUUCCUUCUCUAUCUCUAAGAUUUUUCUAUGAAGACUAGUGCAAGAAGGAUGUCUACGAAUGAAGACAUACCUUCCUUUACUAAUAGAUAAAGAAAGAAAGACUCUACCAAAGGUUAUAUGAUUAAGACCAAUGUGAAAAUAUCUAGGAAAAACAUGGUCUUGUAGGGCUAGGUCUAAACCAGAAUUUAUAGAAAGAUUAAAAGAUUCCCUAGGUGUAGCUAAAAGUGCAUUAUCUUUUUUAUUAAAAGAUAGGACCUCAGCUAUAGAAAAGGGUUGGUUUUGACCUAUUGUAAUCAACUUCGGACACAGAUCAUAAUUAGGGGCAGGACGUGUUGACUCCCAUGGUCUAUGGCUGGUCUCCGAAGGUGCAAAGAAUUUAAUAAUAGGUAUGGAAUUUGAGUUAUCCAUAAAGAUAAAAAUAAAAAGAUAAAAGAAUAAAAGUAUAAAAGUAUAAUACAAGAUAAUAGCAAGACUCAAAGUUAUCUCAGCAAACCGUCUUUCUCCCCGGCAACGGCGCCAGAAAUGCUUGUUGAUAUUUGGUAACGCAAUAAGGAAACGAUCCGCAAGCGCACGGAUAUCGGUGAGCAUUUCACCCGGGAGGUUAUCCAGAGUUAUCGUAUUUAUAUUUUUACCACUGGGAGAAAGGGUGCAUCUGACUAACCAAAUCUAUUGCUACUAUCCCUUUAGGCACAAAGAAUGUCUUUCGAUGUGAGUGAUAAAUAGAGAAGACUGCAACUGUAGUCUCCUUCUAACUUUGGUAAGGAUGAUCUACUGUUCUAAUGGGGAGGCUAACGGAAUCUAGACACCACAAAGGAUGUUCGACCCGCACCUAUAAACCCUAUCCUUCCUGCUAACGAGAUGUGAUCUACAAAGGUAGCUCGGAAUUGUCACGUUCCUCACUACUACCACGGUCCAGCUAGUCAGGGAAUAUCUAUGAGUACCCCAGCCUAAACACCACGUUUACGCCAGCAAUGAUUACUCUAAACUCUACGCGAAGAGAUUAAAGUAAACUCAUAAACCAUAAGAACAAUAAAACAAGAACUUACUAGAAUUUAGAAGUCGAAUUACUGAAGAAUCCUAGGAGCAAGCUUCGGGUUAGGAGAACUUGAUCCCGCAGGUACAACCUUGGAGUAGACACCGACAGGCCGGGCUUCCUCCAAUCUACACCUCCACUCUAUCUCUCUCAAUCUAGUAGAAACUAGAAGAUCUAUUUCUACCUUACAUUGGUUGCUAAGCCUAAAAAGAAAUAUUAAUUAGAGAAUAGGUUUUCCUUCGAGGGCACCCCUCAGUCUCUAUGAUAAUUUCUUCAUGUCUUCUCCAGGGGCCAGGGGGGUCUCCUUAUAUAGUCCUCCCCUUCUAUGCGUUUUUGGGUCGAUAGGCGAGGUGGUACUAUGUUUUCCUUGAUCCAAUAGGUCGAUGGAACAUCCCGAGCGAAGAGAGUCCUGAACUGCAUCCAACAGGGGGCGGGCGCCCAGGUCCUCAGGGUGGGCGCCCUGGGCCUGGCCCCUUUCGACCUCCGCUUCCUUCCCGUGGCUUCUGGAGUCUUCUAGAUGGUAGAAAAUUGCGCGGUGCUUUGAUAUCUCUAUGUAAUCCCGACAUGUGGGCCUUUCUUUCGUAUUUCCUGAUAACCCCCUGCAGAAAUAGACAAACACCAAAACUCGUGGAAUUCUGUCAGAUAAAACCCUAAGUCUAGAUGUUGAUUUCAUUUGGAUCCUUUUCUUUGUUUAUUUGAUAAUUAAAUUUGAUACUUAAGGACCGUCAACAAUAGACCAACUAGGAGGUGAAAUGCUCACAUCUACAAUCCACUUGAUAUAAGGGCCAAUGGCCCUAGUAGACCAAGAUGCAUAAUUUAAACCAUCUAAAAUGAGAAGUUUUAGAGUUACCUCCUCACUUGUCAACAUCAUCUCUCAAGGAGAUUAAGCCCCAAAUUAAGAGCCUAGCUCUGAUACCAAUUGAAAGGAUCCAGAAAGUGUCAUAAUAUAAAAGUUUAACUUAACAAACUAUUAGAAUGCGGAACCUCCAAGAAAACACAAAGGUUCUAGGAUAUUAGAGUAACAAUCGAUCUAUUGUGGAAAAUAAUGAAUACAAAAUAGAUUGACUUAGAUACCAGCCUUCCUAGGGAGGAGUUGAGCUAUCUAAAUAGUUGGUUGCACCUAAACAAUGAAGGAUUCACAGAUCAGAUGCAAUCCCUAGAAUUCAUGUAAAACAUAAUUAGUAGCUGCAACAAUCACAAUAACAAGAGACAUGCGGAGGCCGUGGUUCAGUGUGACCAUAAAGGCUAGCAUACCCCAUGUUGUUGAGGUUAGCCACAAAGGUCAUGGAGUCUCUUGCAACUCGCUCCUCUUCUCUAACCUACCACCAAGGCAAUGAGGGAUCCACUAGAUAUCAGGGGCUAACAAACACACCAAAUAGCUAGAGCUUCACCAAGUGCAUGAGAAUAAAGGAGGUUGAUCUUCUUGAGCUUUCUCACAUUCUCAAAUGUCAUAUCCCUCAAGGAAUCACAAACAUUUGAGCAAGGGAGUUGGGGAGCACAAAGCUUAAAGAGAAAGAGAGAGCUAUUCUGCGAGUCUAAGUUUCUGAAGGAAGAGGAUGACCAUUAGGGGCGAAGGGGUAUGGUAUAAAUACCACCCAUGUCACCCAUAAUGGUCAAGUGUUUAUAUAUCCAGAAAAAGAGUUUAGCCCAGUUGGCUUUUUGUGGCUAGGAAUAUUUGAGAUAUGUAUAAAGAUUUGUGCACUUAGUUCCACCUCAGACCACUAUUAGUAUCCUCCCAUGACAGUAUGGCUUGUUCUAUAGUCAAUUUCAAAAGAUAAAAUAAAUUAAACUAGCUAUUUGAGCUAUAGCAAGUGAUUUCUUCUCAAUAUCACUUCAUGGGGGUUUGCAAUCACCUUUGUCUCAUCUCUUUGAGCAAACUCACCUUGAGCAUGUGACUUGAACCAUUUCCACAAAUAUGAGUUCAAUUCAUGGCUUCAAGUCACUUUCACUAAUGAUUUGAUCAUCAACAUAACAUUACUCCUCAUAGCUUGAUUAGUUCCUCGACUCAAUGCAAGUACUGUCUUCUUCAGCUUAGCCAUAGUACGUUAGUCCUAAAGCCAUCACUUGCCCUUCUCCUUCGCUUAGUGCCUCAAAGCCCUUUCGUUGCUAUCUUUACUUUAUCAAGCUAUACUCAGGUCACAUCAUAGUAAGCAUCCACUAAAACCAUUUAUUCAAUAUUGUAAUCUUUGAUUGAAUAUCUUCUAGAUAUGAAUGUUGAGAUCAAUCAAGCUUCAAUUUGAUUCAUAUAGAGACAUAUAUGAAUCAACAUCAAUAUGGUCAAGCCAAUUCACGAUUCCUUAUAUGCUAUUCAUUUUGGCUUGACACUCCUAACACUUAUUUCAAUAUCUACCUUCAUACUUUUAGCUUGAUCAAAUAAAUGCAAAGUGAUUUGUCAAAUCUUUAUCCAUACAAGAAAACCAAUAUAGAGACCGACUAAUAUCCAAUAUGAGUUGUAUCCUUUGUCAUUUGACAUGUGCUUAACAUUUUCUCACUUAUGAAUUUUUGAUUCAUCUUCAACCUUGAUCAAAGUUUAUUCACUAUAAAACUCUUCUUGUUCAUGUAAAGCAAGCCACACUUGAGACCAAUCCAAAAUCAUUAACUCAUGUCCCUUUUAUUAUUUGCCAAAUAUGCUUGCUUUCUCAUGAUACUAUGAUAUCCCAUAAUAUAUAGAAGCCAUUUCAUUAACUCCAUUUACAUUGUUGUCUUCUUGAACUAGAUUGUUUCCAUAAUCUUUCGACAUAACAAUACUCAAUUUUGGCUUUUAUUUCAACACUAUGUGGAGUACCAUCAAGCUUGCCUUCUUGUUGUACCUUUGAUAUAUCUGGUUAUGUAAUACUCAUGUGUAUGCAAUAUACUUAAUUUUCUGUUCAAUAUUUAGCAAACUUGUUUGACCUUUAAUGGUGUUGUCAUUCAAUUCACUAAAACCCACUAAAAGGAUAGAUGCACUUAUAGCAGGGCGCAUAGGCAGGGCGAACACGGUGGCCGUAGGGCGCUCGGACGCGCGAGGUAGGGCAGGUAGCCACGCAGGCACAAGGUAGAGGGGCGGGUGUGCAGGCGGCUUAGUGUGUGUGGUUUCUUUGGCUCGACGUGCGGGCGGCUUGGCCCAAAAAGCCUGACGAGUCUUUGCCGAGUGUCAGAUCAUGGGGCACUCGGCAAAGAUUUUUAUUAUUUAAAAAAGGUUGUAUAGUGAUAGAUCAGUGGCACUUGGCAUAGAAUUUAUUUUUUUUAAUUUCUCUGCCGACUGCCAAAUCAGGAGCACUCGAUAUAGAAUUAUUUUUUUCAAUUUCUUUGUCCAGUGCUAGAUUAGGGGCACUCGGCAAAGAAUUAUUUUUUUAAUUUUUUUUGCUAACUGCAGGGGCACUCGACAAACAAUUAAUUUUUUAAUUAUUUUCUUUGCCGAAUGCGUAGCGGCACUCAACAAUAAUUUUUUUCCUUUUUUAAUUAUUUUUUUAAAAAAAUUUCUUUAAAAAGCACAUAACUAUGUAGAUUUAAAAAUUAACAAAAGACUGGCCGGUUAGCACUCGACAAAGAUAUUGUUUUAAAUAAAUUGGAUUAGUAUUUGCCGAGUUUUGUACGGAGGGCACUUGGCAAAGAGGUUUUACAGAGUGCCAAAAUGGGGCACUCGACAAAGUUUCUUUCUUUUUUUUGCCUCCAAACUUUUCUUGCUGUCUUUACCAAGUAUUUUAGAGUGCAUGUUCAAAUUUGGCACGUUCUUGAUGUUUUUGCUAUAUUUCAUAAAUUUAUUUCAUUAAAUUACAUUUUUCCAAGAAAAUAAUGUUUGAAUUGUAGAUGCCUCUGUUGACACCAUUUUUUUGGCACGAGUCAGGAUAGUCAUGGAGAGCUGAUCGGCAGUCAGAAAAAUGCUGUGUCAAGCUGAUAAAGAGACUGCCGAUAAUUAAUGAUGCUAAUGAUAGGAUGACAGGUGGAGGAUGUUGGUGGCCUAAAGGUUAAGACGGUAGUCACUAUUCAUUACCGAUUGAUUGCCGACACCGAUGAUUACCGAUGCCGAUGCAGAAAGGUGUGGAAGUUGCUAAGGAGGAUACAGGGAGUAUGCCAAUGCCAAUGAAGGAAGGUGUGGAAGCUGUUAAAAGCAAUAAUGACAUGCCGAUGAAAAGUUUCAUUGUAAUUAAGUAGGCACCAGGAUAGAUAGGCGGAUGCUUUCCAUAUUUAUUAAAGUAUAACUUAUGUUAGAGUCCUGUUUUGUUUAGAAUUAAAUCCUAGUCGUAUACGGUUGUAACUCUUUAGACCAGGGUAUGAAUAUAGGCCUAGUAGCAAUGUAACAACAAUCAAUCAAUAUCAUACACAAGUUUUACAUCUACUUUUUUGACGACUUCGUCAACUUGCAGAUUUUAUUUUAUUUACGAGUUCUUAGGGAUUCAUCGAGCAAUACUCGGUGAAUUCUCGAGUUCCGCGUGAGUACCUCUUGGCCGUGGCAUCCGGGCGCAUCGCUGUUGUCGGGACCAAAGUAUUCAAGGUAUCACCUUUGUCGAUUGUUAGGUCAAAUCGGCUGGCACGCCUCAACGUUUGAAUCGGGUAUUAGCCCUUUAUGUUUGCAGAUCUAUUUUUGCAUCAACACAUCUUUUGGCAUGCCCAGUGGGACAAAUAUAUCCGCAAGAUCGACAUGGCUACUACUGAGCUUGAUGCAGACAAUGUCAUUGGCGUCACAGAAGCUGAUCUCAGGGAAGAACAGAAGCAAGCUAUGGAAAGGGCUAUGGAGGAAUACAGGCAGCUCUGUCUGAAAUCCUUCAGCAUGAAUAGGAGCGGGGAAGUUAUCCAGAAGCAGGAUCUGCCGAUGCCUCGGCAGGUUACUUUUGAUCCCAAUCCUGGUAAACUGCAAGACAUGGUUAAUAUUGUUGUUAAUCAUGCUUUGAUUAAUCACUCCAAUGUGCUGUCAAUACUGUUUACAAUGUUGUGGUUCAAACUUUUAAAGGACAGACACCACCACUUUAUGCUGGUCGAGCCUACCAUCCGCUAGGGUUAUCAUCGGUCAUGGCUUUAUGGCAUGUCUCUAGAAUUUUUCACAAAUAGUUCUAGAACCUCUUAGGUAACUGACUUACUAGGGAAAGCUCCCAUGACAUCGGCGCCUGCAGUUUCACCGAUGACUCAAAUUCCUCAGUAUUCUACAACAACCACUGCAAGACCAGUUAUGGGGAAUUUUUAGGCACCUAUGUUACAGAUACGUAAUGUGCCUAAUGCAAAUUCAUCGCAGAUCCAUUGCCGACUCAACGGAGGAUUGUAACUCAUACAGGUUAUGUCAGCCCAGCAAUAACGACUAGUGAUCAGCCAUCGGUAGGACUUGUGCCGACGAACGCCAAUAAUGAUUGGACAGGGCAGUUGGUCUUUCCACAUGCAACAUAGCAGAAUUAUCAGGCUGCAGGAUUCCAACAAGGGUAGAUGCAAGUUGAUUUCCAAAAUCAAGGGCCGGCAAAUCAGCCGAUGAAUCUUGCUCAGCAGAUCGGUGGUCAGCAAGCUAUGGCUAAUAUGAUGUUUUCUGGAGAUCGUGUACCCCAAAGACACAUAGAAGCUUAUCAGCAGGUACCAGAAGUUCAACACGUACAUCGGCAGGAUGCCGAUGCCUAUUGGGCCGAUAAGAUAGCAGAAGUUAUGAGGGAUCAGUCUGGGAUAAAACCCAAAGAUAACACAUAUUGUUAUCGGACACCAUACCCUCCUACUUAUGAUUUAAUUCCACUCCCAAAUCGGUAUAAGGUGCUGGAUUUCACUACGUUCUCUGGGUAGGAUGACACAUCAACCAUGGAACAUAUCAAUCGGUUCAUCAUUCAGUGUGGAGAAGCGGCUAACAUUGAUGAGUUGAGAGUUCGUUUAUUUUCAUCAUCUUUGUCAGGAUCGGCGUUUACCUGGUUUAUUUCGUUGCCUCCAAACUCAGUCAUUACUUGGGCCGAUUUAGAAAAGCAGUUUCAUAAAUACUUUUUUUCUAGAGUGCAUGAGAAGAAACUUAUAGAUUUAGUAAGAUUGAGACAACAUAAUGAUGAAUCGGUAGAAAGUUAUGUGCAGAGGCUGCGGGAUGUAAAGAACAAUUGUUACAGUCUGGUUCUAGAUGAUCGGCAGUUAGCCGAUUUGGCUUUUCAGGGAUUGAUGCCACAUAUCAAGGAUAAAUAUGCUUCUCAAGUGUUUGAAAGUUUGAGUCAUUUGGUGCAGAGAAUUUCUGAUCAACAUAUCCAAGUUUUUGAACCAAGAAAGGCUUGGAAUAAGAAAGUGUCAUUCGUUGGUGAUGCAGGGGGCUCUGAUUCUGAUGAAGAACCAGUCAUCGGCUUGGCAGAGUGGGUGAAGAACAAAAAGCCGAUGUCUUGUCCUUUUGUCUAGAAAGAACCAGAAAAGUUUGCUUUUGAUAUCACCAAAGACGAUAGGAUAUUUGAUUUCUUGCUUCAGAAAGGACAGAUUAAAUUGUCACCUAAUCAUGUGAUCCCAUUCGCAGAAGAGCUAAAGAAAAUCAAGUUUUGCAAAUGGCAUAAUGCAACAUCACAUAGCAUAAAUGAAUGCAAAGUGUUUAGGCAGCAAUUGCAAUCGGCUAUAGAAUCUGGGAUAAUUAAGUUUGAUAAUUCUAAAACUCAGAAGCCGAUGAAAAUUGAUCAACAUCCUUUCCUACAAAUAUGUUGGAUGCCAAAGGUAAGACCAAGGUUUUAACAUCAGAAACAGAAGAAAAGAACGCAUCGGUGGAUCCUCAACAUCAAGUACUACCGAUGACGCCAAGGGAAAAGGUUUGAUAAAGGUAGUAGUUCAAGCCGACCUCCCCGAUCUGGUGUUGUAAUUACCCAUAGGCGGCAUCGGGAAACUUGGCAGCAGAGGGAGGAUCAAUAUCAGCGUCAGCAAGAACACCGACGUCAAGAGGAAGAAAGGCGUCGACAAGAAUGGAAUCGGCACAGGGAUCAUUGGGGUUGCCCGUUCUUUGUUCAUUGCUGCGAACGAAAUAUCAAGCUGCCGACUGUUUAGGAUUGCCCUAAAUGUAAUGGUUAUCGUCGGCAUGAUCGGUUAGAUCAGAAGUACCAGAACCAUGAUCGACAUUUCAAUGGACCGAUCAUGGGAAGAGCGUCAGUUCAUGAUCGGCUGGGGGCAGGCUCAGUGUGCAUGACAGGCUUGGUGAGCGUUGUUGACACUAGCUAACACCACUUAGAUACUAGGUUGUCAUCCCUAGCAUGGCGCCAGAGUGUACAAAGGUAUUUAUAAAUGUAAAGGGCUCUCUAGAAAAUAAUCUAUUCUAUCCGCAAGCGCACAGAUAAAACACCUCAUUGUAGCAUUUCACCAGGAUAAGUAUUCCAGGUAUCGUUAUUUACAAUUUUUCUCAAGGGAUCUAAGGAAAUGAAAUUAAAAUAAAAGGGGGGCAAAAUCUAUCAAGGCAUAGACUAGAGAUAAACUUGCAAGAACAUGAUUACUAAUGAGAAACUCGUCACACAGUCACAUACUUUAGCAGGGGGUAAACCAUAAAGAUAAUGAUAAUAAAGUAUAAGUUCAUGGGUAGAUAGCACAGCGAUUAGAAAAUAGACUACUCAUAUAUGUAGGUGAUGUCGGAUUAGCUAGAGAAUGGAUUCUAAGUUAUCUACUAACUACUAAGUCAUAAUCUACUCUAGUUAUCUACAAGAUCAUGUAUAGCAUAAAAGACUCUUCAUUCAUGUAUAAGGAACAUUGAUAAAGUAAAUCAGAGCAUAGCAUGACUUACUCCACAAUACCGGUUCUGCCUGUCCUAUCAAUGGAGGGUGGACUAUAUAAGAAUCAACGAAGCUGUCACUAUCGCGAACUACCACACGACUCGGCCAAUAGGAUACAUUUGCAGAUAAAUAACAUCUAAGCACCACGCUCACAUGUGAUCUAUCACCUAACUCCCUCGCGUCAAGAGGUAAGCCCUUUGCAAACUUAUACAUAAACUCAUUAUCAAUUAGAACUAUAUCAAAUAUAGAACUAGAGCAAACUAAGAGCAUAAUAAUUAGAGACAAAUUGCAAUUAGAACAAUAGAAUUAGAGAAAGAUAUGAAUAAUACCAAUCUUUAUUACCGAAGAUCCGAAUCCAGAGCGUAGUGCUCUACUUCUCUAAUUGCUAUCUAAUCAAACCUCUAAACUUGAAGGAUUAGGGAGUAGCUAAUUCUAAUUCUCUGUGGGAGAGAAGCUCUAAACCCUAACUUUGAUGGCUACCUCUGAAUAAUGAUUUCUCCUCUCUCUCCUCUAGGGGCCAGGGGGUUUGGUUUUAUAGUCCCCUCAAGUGAACGUGAGCCAUUGGAUCAAACCGACAUAGAUUGUAUGGUUUAGAUUGAUCCUUUAGGUCGGUGGAGCAUAGUCCUGAAGCAGAGUCCUGUUUGGCCUCCAACCCUGGGCGGGCGCCCAAGGGGGCUGGGCGGGCGCCCUGCCCCCGAGCCCGAAUCGCGUCCCAUUCGUUCCCGUGGCUUCUGGAUCCUUCUAGAUUGAGGAAAAUUGCGCGGCACGUAAUUAUCUCGUUGUAAACAUGACAUGUGGGCCUUCUCUCCAUAUUUUCUGAUAAACCCCUGCAGAAAUAGAUAAACACCAAAGCUCGUGGAAUUCUGUCAGAUAAAACCCUAAUUCUAGAUGUUUGUUUCAUAUUGAUCCUUUUUCAUGUUUAUUUGAUUAUUAAUUUUAGUACUUAAGGACCGUCAACAAGCGUGUCUGUCCUUUCCCCAGAAAUCAAGAAGAACUUGAAGAAAUGGCAAAUGCACGGGUUCCCGAUGAAUUUAUAUUCUACAGAGAUUCAAAUAUUCAUUGUGCAGAAUCAAAGGAAGUUCGCUAUCAGCCAGUGUGGAAAACAAUGAUUCUCCGAUGGUGCCCAGAAGGCUUAACAAGGACGCAAAGAAAGAGGAUGCAACGGGAGCGUCAAAAAGAUCUGUAUAGAGAAGAAAAUUCUUCUAAGACUGAAGAUCGGUAGCGGUUGGACCGCAAAGGAAAUGGACCACCGGCAGAUGUCAAUAUGGUGUUUAUGUUGCCGAUGGAGUUUCUUGCGCCCUUUAGUGAUGAUGAGGACAUAAAUUUCCCUAAUCAGAUAGCUCAGUUGGCACUUGAUCCAAUGAUGGCAAUUUUUGAGAAACCUUCCAAUGAUGAAAGGCAGCAUCUUAAAGCUUUAUUAGUUAAAGGCAGGGUUGAUGGGCAGCCAGUUUCCAAAAUACUUAUUGAUGGAGGAGCUGCAAUUAAAAUCAUGUCGUAUGUAAUGUAUCGGAAGCUUGGUAAAGGAGACCUGGAUUUAACCAAGGCCGAUAUGAUGUUUGUUGACGGUCCUUAAGUAUCAAAAUUAAUUAUCAAAUAAAUAAAGAAAAGGAUCCAAAUGAAAUCAACAUCUAGACUUAGGGUUUUAUCUGACAGAAUUCCACGAGUUUUGGUGUUUGUCUAUUUCUGCAGCGGGUUAUCAGGAAAUAAGGAAGAAAGGCCCACACGUCGGGAUUACAUAGAGAUAUUAACGUGCCGCGCAAUUAUCUUACAUCUAGAAGACUCCAGAAGCCACGAGACCGAAGCGGAGACGAAACGGGGCCAGAGGCAUGGCGCCCGCCCUAUUCCCGUGGGCGCCCGCCCUCUCCCUAAGUCCAAUCAGGACUCUGCUUCGUGGGAGAUCUCCACCGACCUAAAGGAUGAAUCUAAACCAUACAAUCAAUGUCGAUUUGAUCCAACGGCCCAUAUUCACUUGAAGGGACUAUAAAACCAGACCCCCUGGCCCCUAGAGGAGAGAGCCUCUCAACCCUAAUUCAUUGUUCCUCAAGGGAGAAGAAGCCUCUGAUCAAGAUUAGAGCCACCACAUCAAUUAGACAUCUAGAUUAGCAUAGCUACAUAGGAUUAGAACUAGAAGGAGUCAAUCUUCGAUUAGUUUCCGGAUCUGUCAAGAGGAUUCUUGGUAAUUCUCUAAUUGUGCUUCUAAUUACUUUCUAAUUAUCUUUGUUCUUCAAUAUUAUGAAUAUGACUUUGUUCUACUUCAAUAUAUUGCUUAUGACUUUGCUCUACUUGCUUAUAUUCAAGAUUAUAUUGUUCUUAGUUUAUCAUAGUUAUGUACUUGGCUUAGUUAGAUUGGAUCUAUAUACAUGCUUAGGAUCGUAUAGCGUUUAUCCAUCGGAUCCAUGGGUAAAUGAUAGAUAUUGUGUAGGCGUGGUGCUUAUACCGUAUUUAUCUGCGAUUGUACCCAAUAUGCCAGAUCGUGGGGUGGUUCGUGAUAGUGACAGCUUCAUUGAUUCUUAUAUAGUCCCCCUCUCGUGUAUUGGGCUGGCAGAGCAACAUUAUUACAGGAGAGUGAUUGCUAUGUUUCUCAUUUACUUUGCUAAUAUCACUAUGCAUGGGCGUAGUCUUGUCUCACAAUGAUUGCUAAGUAUGCUUGCACUAAUUAUGAUAAUGCUAGACUAUAUAGUUGAGAAUAACUUGGUGAAUAUUCUUGUAGUUCGUUCUAAUACCAUGCUAAUGACUUUCUAGAGUAUCUAAUUGAGGUGCUUAUCAUAUUUAUUAUGUGGCUAGAUCAGAUUAAUUAUCUUUGUCACUAUUCAUUAUCUCAUAUAUCUUUUAUGUGACACUUAUCCCUGUAUGAAGAGCUAGAUAUAAUGUUCUCAAUUAUACAUGCAAUGAUAGAUGCUCAAUCUCAUAUUCUAUUCUGUAAUCAAUAUUGAUGAUUGUUAAUCCCUUCCCAGUGGUAAAAAUAUAAAUAACGAUACCUGGAAUACUUCCCGGUUAAAAUGCUGCAUCGGUAUUAAUCUGUGCGCUUGCAGAUCCCAUUCAUUAUUUAUUUAGAAGAGCAAUUGCAUAUUUCAAUACCACGUCUCUUAUAUCAUGCCGGGGAUGACAACUUGGCUUAAGUGGUGUGAGGGAUAGGUUUGGCAUUUUUGGCACCGUUACUAGAUUUAGAGAACUUAGUCUACUUUUGGUAAUGAUGUUAAGAAUACCCAACAAGCAUUUUUGGUGCAGUUGGCGGGGAAGGUUGAUUACUAAUCAGGAAUGGAAUAAAAGAUUUUGAGUUAUCAUUCGCAUCACUAAUAUGAUUGAGCUUAUCUAUUCUCUCAUACAGUUUUACCCCGAUAUUUUUCUAUUUUAUCUUUUGCAGGGGAAUGUAUGAAUAGAAGACAUCUUCCAGGAAAUUUUGUUGACAAUCCCAAAGCAUUAUUCAAGAAGACGAGAGCCAAGCUCAAGAAGAGAUCAUCAACACUUCAGCAAGAAGCUUCAUCCAAUCAAGAAGAUCACCGGAACUUGUCUUCAGAGUUCGAAGCCAUGGCGAACAAAUCAAUCCGCGAGUUCUCAGCUCCCACUACGGACAACAUCCGCACUGGACCUGCUGCAGAGAUCGACGGCAACUUUGAGCUCAAGCCUGGACUUAUCAACAUGGUGCAAUCCAACCAGUUCUGUGGGAAGGCACACGAAGAUGCUAGUGCUCAUUUACAACACUUCCUGGAGAUUUGCAACACAUUCACCAUAUCAGGAGUUUCCAAAGAUGCUAUACUACUUCGCCUCUUCCCAUUCUCACUGUUAGGGAGAGCGAAGCAGUGGUUCUACGCUACAAAGGAGAAGAAUACUACGUGGGCACUCUCCUCAACAAACUUCCUGGCAAAGUUCUUUUCCAUGGGCAAGACCACUGCUCUCCGUGGGGGAUUACAAGUUUUCAGCAACAAAAUGAUGAAUCUGUUCCAGAAGCAUGGGAGCGCUUUCAAGACUACAUCCUAGAAUGUCCCCAUCAUGGAAUGGAGAGUUGGCUACUAAUGCAGACGUUUUAUCACGGGCUUGGCAACAGUGCCCGAGAGAUCAUGGAUGCUGCAGCUGGAGGAGCAUUCUUAUCACUUACUAUACCACAAGCCACAGCUCUUGUGGAGAAGAUGGCGUCCAACCAAAGAUGGAAUGAAGAGAGGACCCAGACACGCAAGAGAGGUGGAGGUAUGCAUCAGCUCAAGGAGGUAGACAUGCUGUCUGCAAAGCUAGACCUGCUCAUGAAGAAGCUCAACGAUAGAGCUCGAGACAAGAAAGAAGUUAUGCACAUCUACGACUCUCACAUGACUUGUGAGGAGUGUGGAGAUACUGGACACUCAGGCAAUCACUGCCCUGAGAUGCUUGAGGAUGUGAACUACAUCAACAACAACUACUACUACUACUACAACCGUCCUCAACAAAAUCAAGGUUGGAAUCAAUAGAGGCCUAACUACUCAGGUAAUUAUCGAGGUAAUAAUUCUUACAAUAAUAAUAAUUUUCCACCUCUGAGAGAGUUAGUGUCUAAUCAAGGAAAGCUAAUGGAUAACCUAUCUAAGAAAUUGGCAUCUAAUGAUAAAAUGCUAGAAAAUAUAAAUAAUAGAAUGGAAAAUUUCUCUACUACCAUCAAGAAUCAAAUUAGCUUUAAUAAAAUGAUUGAAUCUCAGUUAAAUCAAAUAGCUGCUGCUGUUCCUACUACUAACCCCGGUAUACCAUCACAACCGGAAGGAUUAGAAUCUGCAAAUCUUGUAGACAUGUUUGAUGCAGGUAAUAAUUGGAGUAACCCCGUCACUGUUCUCUACUGACCUUCUGCCGGUCAAGAGAGGUGAUCCAGGACGCCCCGUCAUCCCGAUCUCCAUCGGCAUGGUGGACGUUCCAGAAGCACACUGCGACUUUGGCUCUAGUGUCAACAUUAUACCCAGGGUACUCUAUGAAAAAUUCUUUAUAUAUCCUUUAUUAGAAACAACCAUGUGUUUGAAGUUUGCAGAUCAAACGAUAACUUUUCCAAAAGGAAUAUUGAGGAACCUUUGCGUCCGAGUUGGUACCUUGUAUGCCCUAGCAGACUUCGUAGUGGUAGAGACCGGAAAUGAUGAGAGAGCACCCAUCAUCUUAGCGAGGCCAUUCUUGAACACCACGGGAGCUAUCAUCUACGCUAGUGCUGCCAAGAUCAGUUUCUACGUCAAAGGGAGGAAGGAGAUAUUUUUCUUCAAGAACAAGACUACACAAAUUCCAGAUCAAUCCAGACGUGAGUCAAGGAAGAGGACCAACAGGAGGAACAGGAACAAGCAAGUGUGGACUGAGUCAGCUAAGAUGGUCACUGUAGUUCAUGGAGGCCAAGAUCACCAACUUAAGUCACCGCUUUUGACCAAGAAGGACGACCCAGGAAUGCCAAGCAUUUAUUGCUCCAUAAAUGGAUACAACUUCUACAAGAUGACUUGUGACACCGGAUCGGGCGUCAACAUAAUGGCCGCAGUCACCUAUCGGCUCUUGUUCGGAACCAUGCCACUAAAACCAACAUACAUUCAGCUCCAGAUGGCAGAUCAGACAUUUUGAGAAGUUAAAGGAACAGUAUCUGAUGUCCCAGUCAAAAUAGACGAUCAUGUUGUCUACACAGACUCUCAAGUUAUUGACAUGGGAGAAGACGAGUAUGAUCCACCCAUCAUCCUUGGAAGACCGUUCCUCAGUACCGUUAAAGCAAUCAUCUACAUUGGAACCGGAGAAGUCCAUAUGCACUUCCUCUCAGAGAAGGUACGCCGUUAUUUUACUGACCCUAACUAUAUCGUUGAAGAAUCUAAGCAGGUAAGAAAACGACGCAACCGCAACCAGAGGAGGCAGAUCAUCACGGAUGGAUGGGCAGACUAUGAAGGAGAAGUUGUAAGGUCAGAAGACGUAGAGUUUAAACAGAAUUAUCCAGAGGAGAUUGAAGCACCAAGUCAGGUGUGGAAAAUGAAGAUAACUAUACAGGAAGAGGAGGCGCUGCUGUAACACCCAAAAUUUUGAAUUUUAAUUAAUAGGAUUUAAUUUGAAUUAUUUAAGAAUUUUAGUGAGCAUUUAAUGUAGCAAAUAAAUAAUUUUUGUGGAAAUUAAAAUUUAUCAUAAGCUUAGUAACAUGAUUUUGUGCAUUCAUGCUGAGAUAUAUUUUAUUUUGUGUUGAUUGUAUUUGGUUUGUAUUUAAUUGUCCUCAAAAUCCUUUCUGAAAAAAAAACUUUGAAAAAAAAUAAAACAAAACAGAAAAGAAAUUAGAAAUAAAAAAAAAGAGAAAGCCCUUGGAAGACAGCCCGAAGCCCAGCUCCCCGGCCUGGCUCCUCCCCCUCUUCUCUGCUCGCUGACACCCUGGGGCCGCAUGUCAGCGCUUCCAUCUCCUUCCUCUGUUCGUAACCGAGCCGGACACGGCCGGGAGCCAAUCGAACCCGAUUUCUCGGGAUUACUUGCCAAACGCGUUAGCCGAGCCCCUAUAUAAUCCCUAGCAUCGCCCCCGCGCGUGUUUCCCAUCUUCGCCGCGCAAAAUCCGUGUCCUAGCUACAGCAGCCGCCAGACGGGAUCUUGCCGCAAGCCCGUCGUUCUUCGGCCCCAGCAAAGCACCUCCUCGAGUUCGCGGUGAGCUCCUCGUUCCGAUGGUGUUUUUCUUUCUUGAAACGGUGCUCGGAAACGAGAAACCCGCGAACGCCGGCGAGCUUUCGAACGGUGGCCAUGGCGCCACCGUGCUGAGCUCCGGUCGGCCGGCCAGGCUUGGCCCUGGAUGGAACACCAGCCGUUAGAUGCAAGAUCAAGGGACAGAAAUAGAAGUUACCCCUUCAGCUGCGAAACUAUAUAAAGAGUCCUUGAACUUUUUCAUAUUUGCUCCGCAGUCCUUGGCGCCCUGAGACGAUUCCGUUACUCAACUCCGAAAGCGUAUUUCGUGAAUUGCCAUUGGAUUUAGUUUGCUCAUAAAAUACUCAUUUUAACUCCGUUUUUGUCCAUUCAAAUUCCGUUGGAUUCGUAUUUACGAUCUCUACAUGUUAGAAAUAUUAGUUUACUGUUUUGAAACAUUUUAAUUCUGCAGUAGCAUUUAAUUAAUUAUUACUCUAUAGGAAAUCUUAGAAAAUUCAUAUCUUACUCGUUUUAAUUCCGAUUUUCGUGAACUUUACGUUUGUGUGAUCGUAGCGCUGCGUAGAAUAUUAUCAUAAACUUUUAUAUUUGUUUUACCACUGUUUGGUGUAUUGUUCUAAUUAUACCUUGUUUGCUUCGUGUAUGAUUGUCUACAUUGGAUUGCGUGUUGUUGAUUGAUGAUUGGGAUUAGACGGUGAGCCGUACGUUGGUGAUCAAGACCAAGCUUUUGAAGACCAGCGGGCUCAGGAGAGCUUUGGUCAAGGCAAGUAUAACUUGGGACCAUCCUUGUUACCUAUUCACUUAUAACUACAUAUAUAUAUCAUAUGCAUGCUAUCACCUUGUCGACCUUAGCAAAAUCAUAGAUGAUUGUUACCUGUAUUCCUUGCUACCUACUUGAUAUGCAUUUGGUAUAGAUGUGCUAGUGCUUGAUAUAAUCCAUGAUCUUGUAAGAUGAUUAAUAGCUAUGCAAUGAACAUAAAAGAAUAACAAAUAACUAUAUGAGAUCUUGUCUGUAAGUGAUCACCGGGACAACAGUGCAACCAUGAGGGCUAUAAUGUCUCUGGCUUUAGCUCAGUAUGAAGCACUUUUCUAGCUGGUUAGAGGUUACCCGAAAGGGCGGAGGGGCUGAACCGUUUUGGGUAUAGUGUGGCCUCUGUCUGUAUGAGUAUAGGCUGCGAGUCAUUGUGCCAUCGGAAGGGGGGCUCUAUAUCUGCGCGCAAAGAAAACCUUGCGGCCCUAACUUGUUAGACGAACUUUUGAAAGGCUUCAUAGUGAUCCCUGCCGACCUCCCUAGGAAGGGGGUUAAGAGAUUAGCUACCUCGGGCGAAAGGGUAAAUCAUGACUCAUGGGUAAAGAUGUACAACCUCUGCAGAGUGUAAAACUGGUAUACUAGCCGUGCUCACGGUUAUGAGCGGCCUUGGGGGUUCUUGCUGCGCCGACGAUGAGCUUAUUAAGUUGUUAGGUUCAUUUGAUUAUCGUUUAUGCAAUGGAUUAAUUAUGCUUACACAUGAUCAUGGGAUUAAUGGAUUAUUUAUGCUUCCUUGACAAUUGCUAUUUAAUUAUGAACAUGCUAUCCACUAUUAAAAGCUAAAUGCAGUCAAACCAGUGUCAGCUAUUUGAGCCUCAUGAACCCCUGGUUAUACUUGUUGAGUACGAUAUGUGCUCACUCUUGCAAUUUCCCAACACCUCAGGGUAUGAUAAUGAAGAUGACUGGAAUGAGGAUUAUCGGUAUGAGUACUAGGUUUGGAGUCAACCAGUCAACAGUGUCCCUGUGUGGAGCUUCCAUCGAGAGCGUUGUUUACUUUAUGCUAUCAUUUUUGUAUGAGACUAUGUGAUUCAAUAUAUAGUCCGCUAUGUAAUAAACACUGCAAUGGUACAUUUGAGAUUUGUCUACUUAUGUGUGCGACUGUUUCUGGGGCACAUAUGAGUCUUUUAUGCAUCCUAUUUUGUUCUUAAAAUAUGGGUGUGACAAAUUGGUAUCAGAGCUUUGUUGACUGUCGGACGCAAGCCUAGUUAGAAAUUGGCCGUCAUAAGGUUUUGAAAUUGCUAUAAAAUCCUUGUUCUAUAAACCUUGAUAUUUUCUUCUACACUAUAUCCUAUUCAUCUUCACCUUGUUGCUUAUCUUAAAGACUUGUUCUCAUCCCCACUCCUUGCUUUGAAUAUGCUUUUAGAACCUUCUCUUACUACCUGCUUACAUAGUUGAAAGAGAAUUUUAGGAAUCUUUGCCCUUAAUAGGAAGAGAACGAUAGUACCGCAAGUUGAGUUAAUGCUUGAAAUGCGAACCUUUGAUGCUUGGUUUGGUUUGUUAUUAUGCUUAUGCUUGAUUUGGAUCUUUGUAAUGAGUGCAAUGAUCUUGUGGAUUUCCUCUACAAUUUCAUUUAGUUUAUAGGCUUAAGGCAUAAGGAUUAAUGAACUAAAUAGUUGGGGUUGGUUAAAAUUCUGUUUCUGUCCUUUGCUGUUUUAUGGAGCAGUCUGCAAUGAAUCUGGUACAUCUCAAAAUCUGUUCAUGCAAUGUCCAUCAAAUUUUUCUGGGAACAAGUAGACUUCCAUAUCUUUCCAAUGCCGCAAGAAUGACCAUAUCAUCGAUUAUGAGCUGAGAGUUAUGACUGUUUCAAGUUGAGGUUUCUGCGCAGUCUGGAAUUCUGGAACAGUUUCGGUUGUACCCAGUUUUUGGUUAACCUCACGUUGGAAUCUGGUAAUAUGAUCUAAAUGAAAGUUGUAGACAAUUUCUUUAUCUUUCCAACGGUGUACAAUAUGUAUCCUUUUGAAUUCUGGAACUCGAGAUAUUACUGAUUUUCUGAUCUGCUGAUGUUGGAUGUUACCCAGAAAAUUUCAGAUUCGGUUAACUCUUGUAAUUGUCAUGUUGGACAUUACUAAGAUGUGUUUAUAUACCUUGGAAUGCAGAUGGCAGCAAGGGGAAGAGGCAGAGGCAGAGGCCGUGGCAAUAGUGACAAUGCCCCAAUUACUGUGGAGGAACUUAUGCAAACUCAGAAUCAGAUGAUGCACGUCUUCAUGCAACACCUACAACAACAACCUCCACCAACACCACCACCUGUUCAUGUGAGAGAUAAGCGGGGGGAAUUCAUGAAGGGAAGACCUCCGGUAUUUACACACUCAGCGGAUCCCAUGGAGGCGGAUGAUUGGUUACGUGCUGUGGAGAGGCAACUAAACAUAGCACAGUGCAAUGACUUAGAGAAGGUGUUGUAUGCUUCUGGACAACUUCAGGGAGCAGCUCAGACCUGGUGGGAGUCAUAUCAAGCUGCUCGUUCCAACAAUGCUCCUCCUGUCACUUGGUUAGAAUUUUGCAGAGACUUCCGAGCACGACACAUCAAUGAAGGAAUGAUGGAGCUCAAGCAGGAAGAAUUCAGAUCUCUUAGGAUGGGUUCUAUGUCUGUGGCUGAGUAUCAUGACACGUUUGAGCAGUUGGCUCGCUAUGCUCCAAACGAAGUCAGAGAAGAUGCUGACAAACAACGUCUCUUCAUGAAAUGUCUUUACCAUGAACUCAGAUUGCAACUGGCUGGAAAUACCUACCCUACAUUCCAGGCUCUGGUGAACCGUGCCAUUGUGUUGGAUAACAUGCGCAAAGGUCUGGAUAAGAAGAGGAGGAUGCUAGCACAAGGGUCUGGAGGCAACAACCGCCAACGUUUCAAUUCUCAGCAGAGCAAUCAACAGAGGUUCCAGGGACCAGUUAGUCAAUGGGAUCGCAACCAACAAUCUCAGCGUAAUCCUAAUCAUCAACAAAGUGGACAGCAGACUUCCCGCUCCGGAGAUUCAAAUGCCACCUCUAUGAAGAGAAGUGCUCCCAAUACCCCUACUAGGUGUUUUCGCUGUGGGAAAGAAGGUCAUAUGUCAUAUGAUUGCCCGGAGAGAUUCAACCAGCGGAACAACAAUCAAAAGUCUAAUUCUCAUGGAGCAAAGGUGAACCAUGUGGCUGCAGAGACAGUACAAGAGGGACCGGAGAUUAUGAUGGGUACGUUCAGUAUCAACUCUAUUCCCGCUACAGUUUUAUUUGAUUCUGGAGCUUCGCAUACAUUCAUAUCACAAGCAUUUGUUAGAGCUCAUAGCAUACCACUAGUUGCCCUGAAAACCCAUAUGCUAGUAAACUCACCGGGAGGGACUAUACCAGUUUCAUAUUGUUGCCCCUCAGCAAGUCUUUCUUUAAGGGGGGUAGAUUUCCCUGUUAGUCCCAUGGUUAUGAGAACCUCAGGCAUAGAUGUGAUAUUGGGUUUGGAUUGGAUGAAGAAAUAUGCUACGGAAAUUAAGUGCAAGGAGAAAGUAGUAGUUGUGACCACACCCAAGGGAGAGAGAAUCAGUGUGGACGUAGCAGUACAAGCUCCACCCACAGCCACAGUGAAUCAUUUAGAGGAUGAUGGUGUUGAUCUUCAGGACUGUGUAGGGAAUAAAUUUUCAGAUAAGUUAUUAGGUAUGUUACUUGACUAGAGACAUUGAAUUUGCUAGUGCAAUGGGAUUGGCAUUCACAAGGAGAAACAACUUGGGAAAGAGAAGAGGAUUGGAGAGAAUCAAAUCCACAGUGCUUUAUUUACACACUGCUCAAUCUCGAGGACGAGAUUCUUUUAAGGGGGUAGAGUUUGUAACACCCAAAAUUUUGAAUUUUAAUUAAUAGGAUUUAAUUUGAAUUAUUUAAGAAUUUUAGUGAGCAUUUAAUGUAGCAAAUAAAUAAUUUUUGUGGAAAUUAAAAUUUAUCAUAAGCUUAGUAACAUGAUUUUGUGCAUUCAUGCUGAGAUAUAUUUUAUUUUGUGUUGAUUGUAUUUGGUUUGUAUUUAAUUGUCCUCAAAAUCCUUUCUGAAAAAAAAACUUUGAAAAAAAAAUAAAACAAAACAGAAAAGAAAUUAGAAAUAAAAAAAAAAGAGAAAGCCCUUGGAAGACAGCCGAAGCCCAGCUCCCCGGCCUGGCUCCUCCCCCUCUUCUCUCCUCGCUGACACCCUGGGGCCGCAUGUCAGCGCUUCCAUCUCCUUCCUCUGUUCGUAACCGAGCCGGACACGGCCGGGAGCCAAUCGAACCCGAUUUCUCGGGAUUACUUGCCAAACGCGUUAGCCGAGCCCCUAUAUAAUCCCUAGCAUCGCCCCCGCGCGUGUUUCCCAUCUUCGCCGCGCAAAAUCCGUGUCCUAGCUACAGCAGCCGCCAGACGGGAUCUUGCCGCAAGCCGAGCGCCUUGCCGUGCGCCGCGAGCUCCUCCCGUCGUUCUUCGGCCCCAGCAAAGCACCUCCUCGAAUUCGCGGUGAGCUCCUCGUUCCGAUGGUGUUUUUCUUUCUUGAAACGGUGCUCGGAAACGAGAAACCCGCGAACGCCGGCGAGCUUUCGAACGGUGGCCAUGGCGCCACCGUGCUGAGCUCCGGUCGGCCGGCCAGGCUUGGCCCUGGAUGGAACACCAGCCGUUAGAUGCAAGAUCAAGGGACAGAAAUAGAAGUUACCCCUUCAGCUGCGAAACUAUAUAAAGAGUCCUUGAACUUUUUCAUAUUUGCUCCGCAGUCCUUGGCGCCCUGAGACGAUUCCGUUACUCAACUCCGAAAGCGUAUUUCGUGAAUUGCCAUUGGAUUUAGUUUGCUCAUAAAAUACUCAUUUUAACUCCGUUUUUGUCCAUUCAAAUUCCGUUGGAUUCGUAUUUACGAUCUCUACAUGUUAGAAAUAUUAGUUUACUGUUUUGAAACAUUUUAAUUCUGCAGUAGCAUUUAAUUAAUUAUUACUCUAUAGGAAAUCUUAGAAAAUUCAUAUCUUACUCGUUUUAAUUCCGAUUUUCGUGAACUUUACGUUUGUGUGAUCGUAGCGCUGCGUAGAAUAUUAUCAUAAACUUUUAUAUUUGUUUUACCACUGUUUGGUGUAUUGUUCUAAUUAUACCUUGUUUGCUUCGUGUAUGAUUGUCUACAUUGGAUUGCGUGUUGUUGAUUGAUGAUUGGGAUUAGACGGUGAGCCGUACGUUGGUGAUCAAGACCAAGCUUUUGAAGACCAGCGGGCUCAGGAGAGCUUUGGUCAAGGCAAGUAUAACUUGGGACCAUCCUUGUUACCUAUUCACUUAUAACUACAUAUAUAUAUCAUAUGCAUGCUAUCACCUUGUCGACCUUAGCAAAAUCAUAGAUGAUUGUUACCUGUAUUCCUUGCUACCUACUUGAUAUGCAUUUGGUAUAGAUGUGCUAGUGCUUGAUAUAAUCCAUGAUCUUGUAAGAUGAUUAAUAGCUAUGCAAUGAACAUAAAAGAAUAACAAAUAACUAUAUGAGAUCUUGUCUGUAAGUGAUCACCGGGACAACAGUGCAACCAUGAGGGCUAUAAUGUCUCUGGCUUUAGCUCAGUAUGAAGCACUUUUCUAGCUGGUUAGAGGUUACCCGAAAGGGCGGAGGGGCUGAACCGUUUUGGGUAUAGUGUGGCCUCUGUCUGUAUGAGUAUAGGCUGCGAGUCAUUGUGCCAUCGGAAGGGGGGCUCUAUAUCUGCGCGCAAAGAAAACCUUGCGGCCCUAACUUGUUAGACGAACUUUUGAAAGGCUUCAUAGUGAUCCCUGCCGACCUCCCUAGGAAGGGGGUUAAGAGAUUAGCUACCUCGGGCGAAAGGGUAAAUCAUGACUCAUGGGUAAAGAUGUACAACCUCUGCAGAGUGUAAAACUGGUAUACUAGCCGUGCUCACGGUUAUGAGCGGCCUUGGGGGUUCUUGCUGCGCCGACGAUGAGCUUAUUAAGUUGUUAGGUUCAUUUGAUUAUCGUUUAUGCAAUGGAUUAAUUAUGCUUACACAUGAUCAUGGGAUUAAUGGAUUAUUUAUGCUUCCUUGACAAUUGCUAUUUAAUUAUGAACAUGCUAUCCACUAUUAAAAGCUAAAUGCAGUCAAACCAGUGUCAGCUAUUUGAGCCUCAUGAACCCCUGGUUAUACUUGUUGAGUACGAUAUGUGCUCACUCUUGCAAUUUCCCAACACCUCAGGGUAUGAUAAUGAAGAUGACUGGAAUGAGGAUUAUCGGUAUGAGUACUAGGUUUGGAGUCAACCAGUCAACAGUGUCCCUGUGUGGAGCUUCCAUCGAGAGCGUUGUUUACUUUAUGCUAUCAUUUUUGUAUGAGACUAUGUGAUUCAAUAUAUAGUCCGCUAUGUAAUAAACACUGCAAUGGUACAUUUGAGAUUUGUCUACUUAUGUGUGCGACUGUUUCUGGGGCACAUAUGAGUCUUUUAUGCAUCCUAUUUUGUUCUUAAAAUAUGGGUGUGACAGCUGCCGGAAGUACCGACUACGCCACCCAACGAAUCCUAGGACAAUUAAGAAAAUGGAGAGUCCCGUUCGGAGGACUUAAAAACACCGAACGCCUUGCCAACAUGUAAACUUGGUAGUUAUCAUUUCCCUUUCAAUUAUUUCAACUAGUUUACUUAGUUAAGCAUGCUCAUACUAUCCUAAAAAGAAAAUAAAAAUGUGAAAAAACAGUAAGCCCCAUGUGAGUAUGCAAGUGGCAUAAAACCCAUAAGUACAUUCACUGUGGUGGCAUAAAAAUAAAAUAAAAAUUUCUUUUCUACUUUAUAAAAUAAAAAUAUAAAAACAGGGAGUAAUAAUUAUUAAGGAGUCUCAACACGAUAAAGGCUAGAUAUUUAUGCUAACACUUAAUCAGUUCCACAAGCUUUGUUGUCUAUUUGAGCUCCACAGAAUCUAAGAAUCAAGAAGACUAGCAGACGGAGGACAUUCUAAUCGCUGUCAGAAUGCUGCUGACUUUCAAAUACACUUCUGCCACCUGCUAGCUACAUCAAGAGAAAUUACGUCAAAAUUCAGCUUGGGGGAGAGCACCCCCAUUUAUCUCGAUAAGUAUUUCUAUCUAUCUAUCUUUAUAUUUAUACUAUAUUAAAAUAUAAUUAUGGAAAACCAAAUAAAGAUUUUAUGCUUAUAUAUAAAUAUAUCUUUUACUUAGUGUGUUUAAUAAAUAAAUAAAGUGGCUAUGCUAAUCUGUAUCUAAAUAAAACUUAAGCAUGGAUAUGAUGAAUAGUUGGUCUGCCUAAUUUGCACAUUUUAAGUUCUCUCUCAAGUUUAGAUAUAACUGUUAUAAUUUAAAUCUUGCUCUAGACCUAAACUUGUGGGAUGAAAACUUGAUCUGAGGUCUAAGUUGUUAACGGAUACGAUAUGGGAAGGUUGAGCUACUGUUUAUCUGUUCCUAGAGAUGCUAGAAUUCUGGAGAAUUUUAUCUUUGAAAAUCUUUAAAAUGUUGCAUGAUGAGUUCCUGUAUGAUGAGAGUUUAAAUUCCUACCACAGCCAUAUAUACAUGCUUGCUAGACUUUGAGCCACACAUUUACUAUUUACUGCUUAUGAGCAUUGAGUGUGGUCAAGCUGUGUAGACCCUUAGGAGCUUGUCAUGUGGUUAAAUCAAGAUUUCACUUGCACGUUCACUCAUAUAUGCUACUUCUACUCCGGAAGUACCAUCCACAUAUAUCCAUCCAUUUCCAUCUCUAGAAUCACCCAAAAAUAUUCUACUCCUAAUCCGGGAGGGAAUAACCAAAAAUAUUUCUGUUUUCCCCUAUGAAAUAAAUGCUCAAGUUAUCUUUUUACUACCACUUGCUAUAUUAUCUCAAGAGAUGAGUGCUCUAAAAAAAGAUAAAAAAAAGAGAAAAAAAUAAUAUAUACGAGGAAAUAAAAAGGAGCAAGUGCUCGGAACCUCGAAAGAAAAGAAAAAGUGAGACGAGAGGUAAAAAUGGACAAGUGUCCGACAGUAGAAUUAGGGGUACAAGAUACCCACCUGAGAGAAAAGAAAAAUAAAGAGCAUCUCAUUCUCCUCAAAAUAUUUCAAAAAGCAAGAAAGGUAUGUAUCACCUCAAAAGAGCAGUAGUAGAAUUAGACUUCCACCACCAUUGUUUCCAUCAUUGUUAUCACCAUCAUCACCAUACACCAUUCAUUCGCCACACAUGCACAUCUUGAUUUGACUUAUUGAUUUGUUUCUUUGGAUCCAUGGUUUGACUAUACAAUAAAUGUCUUGUAAGUAUGUAUACUUUAUCUCCCACCUAUGAGCUCUAGAUAUUAAAGCCUUAUUAGAGUAGGGUGAGAGAGAAGACAAUGUCACUAUGCUUUACACCACAAAUACUACAUAUAUUGAGAGAAGGCAUAUACCAUCACUGCCUUGGUAAGGAUCCAGAAAUACCACAAAAGAGAGAUCUGAGAGAAUCAUACAAGGAAUCUCUGAGUUUUAUUUGAAAAUCUGCAAAAACCCCAGAGCUAUAGCUGAUCAAGAAUAAGAGACAUGACACUUGGCUAGACUGUUCUAUCUUUUAACCUCUCAAGACAGAAGUGACGGUUACAAGUCCCAUAGUGAAGGUAAAGUAAGUAAGUUUUAAGUCUUGACAGUUUACUCUAAUCAGAGAUGAGAUCUUAUUUAAAAAGCAUGUGUACCGUCAAUUUUGAAAGAUAUUGCAACAACUUAUGAUCCAUAGCUGAGUCUAUCCUUGCUCAGGGACGAGCAAGAGGUAAGCUUGGGGGAGUUUAUUGACGGUCCUUAAGUAUCAAAUUUAAUUAUCAAAUAAAUAAAGAAAAGGAUCCAAAUGAAAUCAACAUCUAGACUUAGGGUUUUAUCUGACAGAAUUCCACGAGUUUUGGUGUUUGUCUAUUUCUGCAGGGGGUUAUCAGGAAAUAAGGAAGAAAGGCCCUUCGGGAUUACAUAGAGAUAUUAACGUGCUGCACAAUUAUCU